CGUAUGGCGGCCAGGCCUGGGACGCCUCGAGGCCGGCUGGCGCCGUGGGGUCACUCUUCCUGAUGCCACAAGUCACAAAGGCUGGAAGGGAAGGUUGGGGGCUGACAGGGGUCAACCCUAGGUCUCGCAGGUGGCGGUGGGCAAACCCUCCCGUCCGGGGGAACCGCUGCUGAGACCAGGCGAGGAGGAGGAAAAUGUCCAGGGCCUGGAGGUAGAGGGCCAGGACCCUGAGGAGGGAGAGGGCUCACUGCCCCGAUGCAGAGGAGCAGUCCCAGACGGAAAAGGAGUUGAGGCCCCAGGGAUGCUGCGCCCUGCCGAAGUAGAAGGGACUGGCCACCAGAAUCUGAAACCUCAAAUCACUCACGUGAGGGGGUUCAAAGCUGAAAGCAUCACAGAUCAGCAGUGGGACUUGAGACGCCUCAGAAGUGCGUCCAGAUGUUUGAGGAGCUGGCCAACGUGAACGGCAGCUGGCGGGCCUGGCCACGGGGACCUGAGGACCCCGCUAUGAUACAUGCUUUCCCCUACACCAUGGUUUCUGCUCAGUUUCCUCUCAAUAGCUUCCGUCUGCAGGAAGAGCGGCGAUAACACAGAUUCACCAAAGACGUGGCACUUGGUGAACGCAGGCUGCUAAGACGUUACCACAGGAAAAAAAUAACACGUAAUGCCACAGAAGGAGCCAUAUGCCCACUGGUGACCUGAAGUAGAAAUUUCAACUUCGGAGAGCUCCAUCUCACUUAGGCAAUUUCACACUGUCUUUUCCUCCAGGAUUGGCAAGUAAGACACACUUUACGCACCGAAGACGCGUUACCGGAUUGCAGCCGUUUUUGUGCUCGGACACCAGGGCGGUUUCACCUCCAGGUUAUGGAUUCCAAACUUAGCUCCACCCGAGCCGAAAAUGGCCGGUGCGCCGCCUCCCCUCCCCGAGGCUGCCGAAGCCGCCGCCGGCCCCUGCCCCCUCUUGACCGAUCCCCCAAGGACUUGCGUCGGAUCGGAUCCAACACCUUUCCCCGGCGCGGUAGUGCCGUGCUCUUUGGGGACGCAUUGUAGGGUACCCCGCUGAAAGACGCGAUCCCCUCUCCAGCCCCGUUCUUGUGCCGCUUUACCUUUCCGCUCGGCACCGCCUCGCGGGCCUCUUAGCCCCUCUCUUCUAUCCCCAGGUCCGUGCGCAAACAGCCCCAGACCUCUCCAGCCAGGCUGCACCCGGCCCCGCCGCCAGAUCAGCUGCGCCAAAAGCCUCUUUGUUCUCGGGUGUCCUCGGAGCCUCCAGCAGCCGUGUCCCCGCUAAAGCUCUGGCAGCACUGUGUGUCGAUGCUCCUUGAAGCUUCAGCCUCUUCUCGAUGGGAGUUUAACCUUUGCUCUGAAGCGAGGUUUUGCUAAGAGACACGGGUCUGUACAAACGAGCUCUGGCCACAUUCAGAAUUUUCUGUCUGCUCUGCGCCACGACGAACAUUCCAGGCGACACGUCCACUCCCGCUGGUGUUUCUCAUCCGCCAGCGCCGUUGGGCCAGAACCUCCGGAGGCUGUCGGCCCCAGAGGAGGACACGAGAGGGUGCAGGCCGAGGGCAGAAGGCAGGCGGCGCUCCCGCGGUCUCCCAUGGCUGAGAAGGACCAGCCUCGUGCUCGGCUCAGGAGCCAGCUGACAGCCCCUUUCUGAUUUGCAGCUUUUGUUCAGAACUGGGCGGGGGGCCCCCCAUCAUCGUAGCACUCGAGUUAGGCAAUCAUUCACAGACUCUUCUCCUGGGGCCCCAUGCACAACAGCACCAUGGCGCGUGGCUGCCACUCAAACCAAGGUAGCGACAGAACCUUCUGGGAGAAGCCUUCAGAAGAUGAAAUGUUGAGGCCGGCUGUCAGCGCGUGAGGCCACGACAGAGCUGUGAUGAAGUUCUUUUCCGUGGUGCUCGGAGCCUGCCACCAAGGCCCCGGCAAACCCAUGUUCGAAGGCCGUUUCUUCAAAGUAAACAGCGCUGCCUUUGAACCGGGAAGGGAAGCCGGCUGGAAGGCAGGUCCCUGUGUGCGUGUUUGAAUGGGGUCCAUGAGGAAAGAUGUCACGCGGGUCUUUGGCUUAUGGGUCGCAUAAGCCCUUGGGGUGCAGAGAGGGGCCGCCGGAGUCCUGUGACAUCUUUGUCCAUCUGGGAGCACCCUAGGUUCCAACGUGGGGCAGGGUCGGGAGGAGGGGCGGCAGGAGCCCCCGGGGCCACGUCAUGAAGUCAGGGAAGGGUGUGUGAGGCACAGCCCUGGGUGGGAGGUGAUGAUGCGGGUCCUUCCGGAGGGCCCCCCCCAAUCCUGUUGUGCUCAAUUCAGAGGGUUGGGUGGAGGCUUUCCUGAAAGGCUCGGAGGAGUGCUGCACCCACGGGCUGUGCGGUCAGGAGGCGAGACACGGGGAGCCACACAAGGGAAAGGCCACGCCGUCUGCCUGUCCCCCCUCCCCCCCCACACAGAGGCCCAACUCCACCGGCGGGUCCCCCACGUGGUGGCCAGAGGCCACUGACCAUGUUGUUGUUCUGCUCCAAGCCUCCGGUGGCUACUUGGAAUACAACCCCGCUCUGAGCUUGGCCUUGACCACCUGCGUUUCCCCCACAUGCCCCACAUGCCGUUUGGCCCCAGCUGCCUGAAGACCCGGACCUGGGCCUGCUCCUCCUCUCCUUGGGUUCUGCCUCCCUCUCACCCUGGCUUCCCGCCUGCAGGGAGCACCCCCUGCCAUCCAGCUGUCACUGGCAUCACAGCCCCUGUCGUCUCUGUCCCUUUGCCAGUAAUGUGUAUGCUCCCACCUCAUAGAGUCUGUGAGCUUGCAGGAUGAGGGCUGUAGCUGCCCUGAGGAUUAUUACGUUCUCCAGCUUGGUCUCCUCCCGUGGUAUGCAGUAGGUGCCUAAUCAACGUGUGAAACUGAAGGGCGCCCGGGGGGCCCAGUCGGUUAAGUGUCCAACUUCGGCUCAGGUCAU